rnacentral:lncRNA from 1 species
GCAACAGGCAUAAAUCACUCAGCUCUUCCCUCCCUGAGCUCCCUUGCAGCCAGCACAUGCACAACACCUCCCUUCUGGAUGAGGCUUUGGCAUGAGAGGCAGAUCCCAUGAAUGCUCCAUCGCGUUACCACAGCAGAGCAGCGCUUGGCAAGCUGAUGCAGGAUACUCCCUCAAGAAAACUUUGAAGGAACAGUGCUGCACGGCUGAACUAGGCAAUUACAAAUAUACCAGACACAGGGCUGAGACCCACCUCACUUCUGUUCUGCUGGAGUUCAUAGAAUCACCAAGGUUGGGAAAGGCCCACAGGAUCACCCAGUCCAACCAUCACCAACAGUUCUCAAGAGUUGCAGCACAGUGAAUCACUCCAACCUUCCCUCAAGGAGGGACAGCACAAUAGGAUCAGCCUCUUCUGCACUGCUCUGAAAUCACAAUUCAGAAAAUGGACAAAGUGGAUAAUAAAUUACUCUUCUUAUGCCAGGUAUUUUCCAUUUUGUGUUUUAACCGUUGUUGGUUCUUGGCACUGUUAAACUGUUAAUGGUAAAUUCAAAAGGAAUUGAGGACCUGGCUUCCUGGAUCGUAGUUUUUGGCUUUCCUGCACAAUAGGAUGAAGCCUGCAAGUCCCUUUUGUUACAUGCAGGUACCCAACUCUACUUCGUUACCAAUUAUCCUUCCUCAGCCUCUCCAUCCCUGUAUUACAUAAGGGUUCAGGUGAGACUCCUAAGAUAUCUGACUGCUUUAGCAUGUUUGGUUUUAUGUCUUUGUUACUUUAUAUCUCUCUUUGGCAGUUACAUCUACCUACAUAAUUGCUCUCAUUAAAAGGCUUAGUCAUGGUCUGAAGUAAGUGUAACCCACUGUUAUCUGUGCACUUAAGCAAAUUUCAGCACAGAAAAUUGGGGUAUCAUCUAAAUAUCAGACUACAGGAAGAUAAAACAAUCUAUACUGAAAAUCCAGAAUAAAAAGAAAUAACAGGCUUUGAAGCAGGCCUACCACCGAUUUCAGCUAUCCCCAAAACUGUACCAGGAAGGUUUUAAAUGGGUUUAAACCUCAGAUUUUUCACCUUUGGAAUUCCAGCCCUGUGACUGGUACGUGUGAGCUGAAAGGAGCACAGUCUGCACAGCGCAGUGCUGCAGGAGUGGCAGUUCUCUGAAACUGGAACCAGUCUUGGAAUUACAGUGGUGCUUCUUUUUCCAGGGAAAGGAAGGGAGUGGAAAUGGAAAAACAUCAGUGAGAAAAACCAAACAGGGCCCAAAAUUCAGAGCUGAGGAAGUCUGCAAUGGAGAAUCUAGUUGAGACAGCUGUGCUGAGGCUGACCUAACCUGGGGCUGACCAAGCAAGUUCCAUGAUGUCAUAUUUUGCUAUGAUGGGCCAUUAAAUUAAGUCGCUGGUCCAGACCUUCCUCCUGACACCUAUUAAAUCUACAGCUUUGGAGCUGGAGUUGUCAAGGUAGCACUGCAUCAGAUACCAGGGGAAUCCACGCACACUGUUACAGAAGAUUGCUGCUUGCAUAAAACCUCUUUGCUCUUUUCUUGAUUGUAUAUUCAGGAUAUAUUUUGCAGGCAUAGUCUACGAUUAGAUUAAACAAGCAAAGGAAUUAUUUAUUGCCUGUCCCACUGCACCUACUGCUUAACACCAGAUGAAACUAAAACAAUGGCUUCUGAGCUUGGGUCAAUAGUCUUCCUCUAUAGUCUACCCUCAAUUUCAAAAGCAUAGAGAAAAAAUGGUUAAUUCUACGGUGCCUGCGUUACAAAAAGGAGGAUUCAUUCAUAUUUACAGCAGCCACAAGAACUUCCAAAUAUAUAUUUUUCCAACCUGAAGGGUUUCAGUGACUUGUUCUACAUUUCCAUAGUAGACAAUAGAUCUCACAUAGCACUGUGAUCCAAUCUGCUUUUCUUUGCAGCAGGUAAUUGUAGGACGUUUUUAGGGAUACCUGUAACCUCACAACAUUGCCCUGCCUACUUCAAAAGAAGCUGUCAUCAAAAAGUAUUACCAGUCAAAAGAGUCAGUGAUGCAAUUAUCUUUUUAAACAAACCCAGAAUAGUGGAUCAAACGCACACUACUUUUGAUUAUCCUCAGUCAAGUUUUCUUUAGGGGAUUCUCUGAGCAUCUCCUUCCCCUCAUUCGAGUUAUCAAACUCUCAUUUCUAGACCUCAGAGAACACCUACACGCUCCCUUCUGCUUCCUUCUUCCCACAACCUGAAGUUAAAUGUGGAGCACUUCCUCUGCCACCACUCUUGAAGCCUCAGUGGCCCACCCAACAAUGCCACUCUGUGGCUGGACAGGUAGAGAGAUGUUCUUGCAAUACUCAUUCCUCUUGACAAAUAUCAAUUAUUGUGACCAGGUCUUUUAACAAAAUAAAUACUGACUAGCAGCUAAGAGACUGGCUACUGGCUGCUUCUCACCUCCACCAGGAGCCCUGAAGUGCAGGACAGAAUCCAGGAAAGAUUUUCUGGAAAAUGAAGAGACCCAAUAAAGCCUCUAAGCCCAGGCAAGUCAAUAAACUGUCACAGUUGCCCGGAAGGAAUUGGCUCGUCUUAGAUAAACUCACAAAGGCCCUGAAAAAACACAACUUUUUUUUUUUAAAUGGCAGAGAUUAAUUUUCUGACUUCAAAGUAGUAUUAAUGCAGAACUUGGCUAAGGUUUCCUGUGCAAGCAGUUUCCCCCCGAGCAAUGAUUUCAGAAUCCGCCUUGUUUUAAGGCUGGCAUUUGCUGCAGCUGCAGACCUGGAGUAUUUUCGAUCCCCUCUGAGUGCUGGAACACUAUCCAACAAUUAAACCACAACCCAAAAACAAUCAAACAUCUGUUUGGAGGAAGGCUGCUCAGUGACUGACAUUCUCAUGCCAGCAUAAACACGAAAGCUGCUGAGUGAUUCCUGUCUUUUGUGUAUAUAUGUAUACGUAUGCACCGCUUGUGUAUUUUUUGUUCCUGCAUGCAGAAUAUGUAAAUAUGCUUAAGAGCAUUUUUAUUGCAAUAUGUGGGUGUACUUGUAUAGCUUAUUUGUGGAAGUAUUUUCAUUGGCGUGAACACACAGAUUUGAAUGUCAGCUUGAGAUGUGGUUAUUUGUGUGCUGGAGGUGGUUUUGCAGGAGGCCAAAGCGAACGUGGAUUGGGAGUCUGCAAGCAGAUUCAAUUGAAACCAGCUACUCAUCAUGAUUUAUGAGAGUCUUUGGGACAGGAGCUGAUCACAUGUAAGCAAGUCUUCAUCUCUAAGAAGCACUCUGAGUUUCUAUUCUGACAAUCUUUGAAUUCUCUUCUUAGGAGUUGGAAAACACCACUUAGUAGAACUGGGAGGAGGUGUUACAUUCUUAAGCCACAUGUUACACAAGAUAUGUCUGCAAGCAAACCGACAACAGAAGGACUGCUCUUUAUUGUACAAUGCCAUGUUCACUCCUGACUUUUUCCAACACAGGACCCCUCUACAGGGCAUAACGCAAUGAUUAUGACAAAGGCACUUAAUCAACAUUAGCAGCUGCUCAAUUUCUAACUCUUGUUUUCCCACAAACUCCAUCUCCAGGAAAAUACAGAGUGCAACUCAAGGAAGCUCUCAGCUGUCCUCCACUUCGUGCAUUUCCAAAGCAGAUGUAAAACAACUUCUGGUCUCUCUUAUGUUCCUAUCUUGUUGAUCUGUGAUUUAUGACUGUAAGACCUUGGAACUUUGAACUGUUCAAUUCAAAUGCAUUCUUUUUUCGUUGUAGGAGUUUUAAGUAAUAUCUGAAGCUCUUAAUUUGUGGAUUAGCACAUUUACCUACACCACAAUUAGUCCAACUCUGAGAAAGCCCAAGACUAACUUUUGGUUCAUUACUCUGUCAAUCAAUAAGCAUCACAUGUGCUACCAGCCAUUCACCUAUAGGAAUGCUCCAGUUUGUUUCUACAUUCCCAGUCACCACUGAUUCAUCUGUCCAAGUCAUAUAACUGUUUUCUUUCUUGGUCAGUAAACUAGAUCAAAGCCUUGAUAUUUUUUAAGAAAAAUCUUGUAUUAAAGAGCAUGUGAGACCCUGAGAAGGUGGAGGCAAACACAUUUGCCACACCAGCGCUCAUCUCAGCUGACAACAGCAGCUUCCUGUGCUCUGUCCUGGGGGGAUAAGGGGCUGUUAAAUCCUCACAUCUGCCACCCCAGUGCACAGCUGUGAGUGGCUCAGGGAGAACCAUCCCUGCUUGCCCAGCUGCCCCCUUCUACUCACUGUCACUCAGCAAGUAACUAUUUCACAGGCCUCACAGAAAACAAUGGGAGCUUUCAGGAAUGAAAUAAAAUCUUUACUCUGAUAGGAAGGCAGCUGUGAGACACAUGAAAGCUUCUGCUUGCUGUCUCUUACUUGUCUCACAAGGUUCAGAUCGAAGGAGUCACAGCAAACCAUCUACAGUGAAACCCUUCACAAAGGUCAGUGCUGGAAAGAGUCUGAACAUGUGGUACCCUGCAGAAAGAUGUGUGGAUAGACAGAUAAACAGCUCACUGACAAGGUAGAUGGAUGCAGAAUGAGGAGGAGCAUACAUGGAAACAGAAUAUAAAAGGAAAAAAGUGAUCAAGAAAGCAAAUUGAUUUUCACUGUUUGUUUUGACAUCCCCAAAGAGGACCCCGUGAUCCUGAGGAAAUCCUGAGGAAUCAUUGCUCUCACUGCUGAUAUUCAGCCACCUUUGGGGCAGAAGGCUGCAGCCUUUAACAGCACUCACUUAUCCUAUAAACCAGUUUAUCACAAACUCACCUCAUAUUAAGGUGCUUUAUAACCCUGGGGGAAAAGUAUCACCUGUUAAAGAGCAAUUACCUCUGCAUUUCCCUUUAGGGCUAUUUUCUCAUCUAAGAACUGAUGAGGUCCAACGCUACUUCAGCUUGCUAAUUAUUCUAACUUCAGGACGUUAGUGCUGCUGAUUAGGAAGUGCGCUGCACCCAGAACAUAGAUGAAUUUAUUUCCUACGGGUAUGCAAUGCUGCACACUUGCAGUGUACUCAUACAGCACUGAGAAGUUAGGAAAAUUAACCCAUGUGGUAAUGUGCCCAGAUGCCUUCCAAUAGCUAGGAGGUCAUAUUUAAACGUUUAUUCCACCCGAUGACAAAUCUGAAUUCACAUCCUUAUACUGUCCUUCUGUCUCCUACCACCUCACUUCCCAGCUCCUGUACUCUCCCUGAGGCACUUCUCUAUCUUUUCCCCUCCUUCCUCUCUUGCUCACACUGGACUAUAAAUAAGUCUGCUUAACACAAACAUGCUUGCUCUGAGUAGUUACUUAUAUGAAAAAUAAUACAUGUUUGUAAGCUUCUUUGUCUUUCCCUUCUUCUACAUUUCAGUUUUGAUUUUCUCUUAUGUUUUGAACAGAUUCCUAUUUUCUACGCUUGAAUAACACUCCUGAAAAUGCUUCUUGUUGGUGUAAAUUUGACCUGUGCUGGUACAGCACGAAUCCUUGCAUUUCCCCUGGUGUUACAUUGCAGGUAGGGAAUAAGGUUUUACUGCUGAUAAUACAGAGGAGUUCUUUAUCUUACAAGGUAAGGAUUCAGGCUUUCAGCUCGGAAGCUCAAGAGCUCAAUGCCAUUGAUGACCCAGGGGAGGAGCUGUGAUACAGGAUCCCAUCACUGAUUUCCACGCUGCCAUCUCAUCAUCAAGUAGUCGAAACCCUUAACCCAUGUGAGCACUUCACCAUGCUAGAGAACUCAGCUCCUCACAGAACAGAAAACAAUGACCACUUGUUAAGCAUUUGUUUGAAAGAGGAAGAAAAAGAGUAUUACAAUGAGUGAUUUCAAUCUCUGUGCUGUCAGCUGAAGGUUCCAUGCUGCCAGAAACAAACAAAUGUAUUCCCUGUUUACAAAUGAUACCAAACAUUUUUAACCUCAAAGACUUUUGUAUCUUAUGUUGGGGAUUUUUUGGCGAGUGAAAAGAAAUAACUUUAGUAUUUAAAAAGUAGCGGUAUUUGAGUAUUUCAUUUGAUUAUGUUUGUUUGAUAAUACACAACUGCUCUAAAACUGACAACUUCGCUAUGAUAAAAACAAAACAGCUUGGAGGAAAUAAAACACCAAUAAUAUUUGCAAACUACAUAAAAGCACUUAGUGGGAAAAAUGCUAUUUCACUAACAGUAAGGAAUGACAGGUUAGUUAAAAAUAGAUAAAAGCUCAUAAAACAAAAGGGAACAAAAGUCAUAUAUAUCUAUUAAUUACUAGGUAGCUAGCCUGACUGUGCUGCUGCUAGCAAAAGUGCAGCUGCAUCAUUACUGGAAAAAUGGGACAGGCUAUGUACACAAAUAGGGCUGGAGUUCAAGCAUGCCUGCCCAAAUCCUCUCUGCUACUCCAUUUAGUGCAUUCUUUCUUAUCAUUCAAAGGGCUGCAUUGAAAUGUGCUGAGCUUCACUGUGCUCUGGAUCAGGGUUAAUGCACGUCUGAAUCCUCUGAGCUGGAGAGCUACUACUUAAAGCCAGUUUUGAGCAUUAGCAGAUUAUUUAAAAAUACCUUUGGAUGAAGAUGUAACGGCUCAGAUGGUGUGCAAUAAAAAACAAUGUACAUCUAGAAAGCUGCUGAGAGCUCAAUGGUUGAACUCAUAGAACGUUUCCUUCACUUGGACUCCAUCAGCAAGCAAGCUCCUACCAGUUCAUCUCUUGCCUUCAUUUACAAAUGCAGAGGAUUUAGCUCUCAGUCUCACUUUGGAGUCUCCAUUAGGACAUCUCCCCAAGUUAUGCUUAAAUCUGGUUCUCAUUUGUUCUUCUCCUGAAAUUAUUCAGGCUACUGUCACUACAUGAUUUGUCUUCAUGACUUCCAAAGGAUGAGUGCUGAGAUGGGAUUUGGACAGAAGGAUAAUACUGAGAGGUGAAACCAGGAAGACCUACACAUUUCUCAAAGGGCCACAAUCAGAAUUCCUUAUUUCCAGAAACUGGCUUUACAUUAUUUCUUAACAGGAGAUAAAGCAAAUUCUCUUAGAAGACCAAAACUUUUCUUUUCCCCCCUGCAAAACUGCAAUCUUCCCAAAAUGCAACAACUCUGAAAUUCUUCAGCCUAAUUCACAGAGAAAACUCAGUCUUCCCAAGACCACAACUUUUUGCCUUGCUUGCACUUUGCUCCUCUGGGCUUGAUUGCUAUGCUAAUUAAACAAGACAUUGGUUAGGUUUUAACAUAGAUAUUCUUUUUUUUAUUUUGGUUUCAGCUUCUUGAAAGGUGUCCAAGAAUACCAGGCAAGGAAAUGAAAUCUGCAUCCCAAGGAAACAAUCCCUUUCCAAAAUUGUUAAUCUUUCCUUAUGACAUGUUUUGGAAUACAAAUGUAUCCAGAGGGGGUUUAUUCAGCAAUAUGCUGUGCUCAUCCCCACCCAGUGACACUUGGAACACAAGCAGAAACACGUAUGUAUUACAAGGAGCGAUGUUCUACAUUGUUAUUAGAGAACCGGGCUUCCUUCAGCAUGCAACAUUAUCAUAACAAACCCAUGACUACACACUUUAACUGUCACUACAUUGCCUUCCAUAUAUGCUGGGAUCAGCAGAAUUAGAAGCCAGGUCUGGUUGCUACAUAUCACUUCUGAUAAAUUUCUGCAUUACAGCAACUGAAGGCGACUAGAGAGCUUUGGCUGUGCCAGAUUCAAUCCAUUCAUAGGUCUGUUCCCCCAGCACGUUUCGUGAAGCUAUUUAGGGGUCAUAUGGAAAUGAAUGCAUGAAGAAGUGAAGAAAAAAGACAUAAUAUUAAACUCUGUAAGUGACUUUUAAGUGAAGACUUUUGCAAAAAGAAAAGACGUAGCAGGUAAGAAAUACAGAGGGGUAUUCUAUGCAUCAUACGGUAUGCAAUGAGAAAUGCUGAAUUUACCAAAAGCUACCAGCAGUUUUGGUUAUUCAGGUGAAGACAACUUAUGCCAAAAAUCUCAGGCAUCUUAAUGUCUCUUGAGACAAAGAUAAAAAAGCAUUCAUAAUCAGAAGUCAGCUCUUAAAACAUACAAUUGGUUCUUAUUUUGAGAAAAGUAGUAACAAGACUUUUUUUAUUUCUUUUUAAUCAAAACAUUGCUCAGAAGCCACAAGUCUCAGAUCAAGAACCAAAUGCGGAAUGCUAAGCGCUCACUAAGAGCUGGCUUGGGCAGCAUGAGUACUACACUAAUUUCUCUUUCAUUCCCUCAGCCCAAAAGCAAAACACAUUUUGCAGCAGCAUCUCAGCUGUUUGCUGAUGACUGAAUCCCAGGCAGGUCAAGAGAAACUUCUUGAACUUCCAAUUUCCAAGAAAGCCAACGAUCCAAGUGAAGUAAGAAGAAAGAAGACAUGCCGUGAAAGACAAAAAGCCUUCUUCAAACACAGCCCUUAAAUAACAGGAUGUGCAUGAAAUCCAAACUUCCUAAUGAAAUAAUUCCAAACCCUUUUGCAAGAAAGAACAGUAUUUUGAUGAAUGGUAUUUGUGACCUUAACGAUAAGCAUUAAUCUGUGCCACUUCAAAACCUCAGAAAAAAGUAGCUGGUAAGUGAGCACCUUGCUAACGAAAACCAGAGGAUGCAUCAUCCUAAUAAUCCAUGAGGAUAACCUGAGGGUAUUUUUUAACAUGACAGAGGCUGUCUCCUUGAGAAGAAAAGGUUAAAGACAACAGAGAGGCGACAGUGACAUCCCAACUACACACCUUAGUGAUAGCACAGCAUGCGCUUCCAUCAAACUACACGUGGGUUUCUAAAAUACUCUUUCACAAAUCAAGUAAUUUAAGUCCAAAUGAAGUUAAAAACAAACUAAAAAUUUGCAAAUGCUCUUCGUUCACAAAAACAUACCCUGGAGGUUUCACAAAACAGAAUAUUCCCCAAACGGCGCAAUUAUUCUAAUGAAUAUGCCUAUAGAAUAAAUGGCUGCUCAGUAGGAGCAACUAGUGAAGCAUAUUAUGGUGAAAAAGGUAUUUUGCAGGUAUGGCUGUAACUUCAUGAUACCAGCUAGAAAAGAUUCUGCAGGUCUACAGAAGGGCUGUAACGGUGCACUGCCAAGUUGCUGUCCAGGCAAAUUACACACGCACCGUGUGCUGGUUGCUGGAGAUGGUCUGCUCCGCAGGAGACAGGAUGCAUUGGCAGGCAGAAGCUGAGCAAAUUCCCGUUUGCACAAACCCACAUACAAUGGGAGAGAGAUUAACUGACAGCAACAGGGCUUUUCACAAGCAGACUUCCACCUAUAAAUUAGUACUACUGCAAAAUGAUAAGUGACAGAUGACAGGUUUUUAAUGAAAUCCAAUGGAAGAAUCUACCUGUCUUGCCCAGAUUCCUACACAUGAAAUACCCUCCUUAGCUGAAUCUGUACCUUGGUACAAUCUCUGACUGGUGCUUUGCAGGAAGUCAGGAUACUUGGGAUCAUCUGAUCUAUAGCUACAUGAGUUUCACUGCCACAUGUACUACAGCAAAAGGCAAAGCAGCGAUCAACAUACAGUGGGCAGACAACGUGGGUAGCGUCAGCUAUGGGUGCUGUGACAGAGUACAGCAAAGUAGGAACCACCCCUUCCAGUGAAGGAAUUCUGAAUAUCAGCCUGAAGUUACAAACAGAUUUUGCUGACUAAGAUAUGAAACAAGCCCAUUUUAAGUAGUUCCAGACCGAUCUGCAUAAAGCAUGCAGUCUGUCUAAUAACAUCUGAUGGGCUGCAAAAGCAGCCAAUGGCUGCAAAGGCCCAGAGUUCCACUGCUGGAUGGAAUCUUUGCAAAUGAGGAGAGCAGUGCUUAUGGUAGAGAAUUCACUAGGAGUCCAAGGGCAGCUCGUAUUGCUAGCAGCAAGGAAUAGUAAAACGGGAGUUCUGUUUGUUUGCUAGAAAGAUCUUGUAGCAAAAAAUACAUUGAAAAUUGAGAAAUAGCUUGCAGUGAUGAACUGGUAAAUGCAACCUUUUUACAGGGGAAUGCCAAAGCAGAUUUUAAACAUUUGGCAGUUUCUCAGAAGCUAGGGGAAGAUUAACUAUGUGAGGGAAAAAUCAGGCCAAGAAACUGAGAACAGCUUUUCAAAAUUAAGGAAAGCCAAGGAGGAACCAAGUCUAAAAAGCAUUUGGAAAGAAAUGUUAAGAUCAUUUCACUUAUAAGAGAUUGAUCUCAGAAUCAGAAGGGUUCUGAACUUGUGGAAGUGGGAAGGAGUCAAAGUUCAGAGGGGGAGCAGCAGAGCCCCAACCUCACAAAGACUACCAAGCAAGGACACACAGCAACCACAGCAAGCAGCAGUGCUCCCAGGGGUGCCAUGGCUAAUGUUGUCUGCAGAGAUGGCUCAUAGGAAUGUCACCAAAACGAACACCCGGCUGACAUCCCCAGCCUCCUCAAGUUUGGUAAAUCUGUGCUCCAGUUUCCAGUGCUUGAAACAGCCUCUGAACACCAGCUCUGCAGGCCUGGACGCAGCACACUGCAUCUCUGCUGCUGCAUUCGUGUUUAUGAAAGCUACAGAAUAUUCCUUUUUAUGCACUCAAAUAACUUUUAAUAUCAAUAGCACCCUGCUGCUAAGAAAUACAACUUAACGGCUGGGUAUUAUUUGUUUUGGAGUAGAAUAUUAUGUUGGGCAGUUUCCCACUGGAAUAUACCUCAGUGUUUUCAAUGUGGCUGUGCAUACCUUGCUUUUUGUAGGCUGUUACAACUGUAAAUGUAUUUUAAAAGCACAUGUACACAUAUGUGAAGGAGGAAAUGAGACCAAUAGCUUUUCAAGGUACUAGCAAUAGGAUUAGUUAGAACCAUGCGCUGACUUCAAAAAAUCUCACAUAAGAAAAUCCCACAUAAAACCAGUCUGUAUCUCAAAACUUCACUGCUACCCCAAGGGGGACGAAAAGGCACUGCAGGACGAAGUGAGAGGCAGCAGCUGUCCUCAAAGGCAAAGGACCUCAGGGGACCCAAACUAUAACGCAAACAUCACCUCUUGCAACAGAGCAGAAGGGAAAAAACUCUCCUUACACUUCAUUUGUAUCACUGUGUAUGCAUUUUUGAUUGAUUCUUAUCAAGACUAUUAUAUUCUACUUCUAGAAUAUGGCAAGUAACAGUGCAGGUAUCUGACUCAAACUACAGAACCUGACAAACAGCACAGCUGCGCCGAAAAUUACUAAGGUGAAAAGGUGGGUGAGAAAAGAGAAAAACUUAAAUAUGGUUUUAGGGGAGAAAAGCUGUUGCUGAAGUCUUUCCUACUUGAGAUGACUCCAAUAAAGCUAUUCCUUCCUUAUCAGUGAAACACAGUCAUCUACCUUGCAGAUCCUUCUCUCAUUCUUACACGCCAAGCACAAAGAUGGAAAAAUUGCAACAAAAUUCUAACUAAGGCAGCAAAAACUCUGCAUGGAAAGAACACAGAACAGAGGAUAAAUAAAGGUUGCUGGUAAAACCUGGAACUUGCUGUGUUCAGCUAAUCCUUCUAAGGAGUUUUUUCUGUGGAGUUAGAGCAGUGAUUGCACCAAUUACAGGCACACUUCUUCAUGAAAUAAAAAAGAGGGAGAAGGGAAGCGAAGCCAAAGCCUCUGAUUUUCUUCUGGCUGAUCUCAAACUGUAGGAAUUCCCCAAUCAAAAGAAUGCUCUGCUCUACCUAAGGAAAUUAUGUUGAUUAGAAUAAAAGCUCCAGAUGUUAACCCAAAACAGUUUGAAGGGGAGGGGAGAAGGCACGCGAGGUGACCCCACCCAGGGCAGGAAGCACAGUGAGAGCCUCAUACCCAACGCCUUGGGACACAGCCAGGGCUCAGCAGCUCUCACGGCUGUCCUCCUUCUCCCCCAGGCAGAUAUAGGAGCUUUUCCAGUUUAACCCCAACACUUCUUUGCAUCCUUUGACAUGCAUUCUUCAGAAAACAUAUAUAAAUCAGAAUAAAAGUUACAUUGAGAACAGUUUUGUUUGGUUUUGAUUUUUAAAUCCAGAAGCAGCAGAACAACUUAUUUCUCCUUGCUAUUUCCAUGCACUUCGUUCC